rnacentral:rRNA from 1 species
AAAACAUCUCUAAUAGAAAUUAUUAUUAGUAAAGCCUGCUCAAUGAAUAUUAAAUAGCCGCAGUUCAUUCUGUGCUAAGGUAGCAUAAUCAUUAGUCUUUUAAUUAAAGACCAGUAUGAAAGGCUUAACAUUUAAUUAAUUAUUAUAAACCUUUUCUUUAAAUUUUUUUAAAUGUAAAAAAACAUUUAUUAAUAAGAAAGACGACAAGACCCUAUUAAACUUUACUUAAGUUUAACUGGGGCAGUUAAAUAACAAAAUCUUAUUAAACUUUAUUAAGCAAAUGACCUAAUAUAAUUAAACAAUGACCAAGUUACUAUAGGGAUAACAGCGUAAUAAUUUUUUAAAGAUCUUAUAUAAAAAAAUGAUUACGACCUCGAUGUUGAAUUAAUUUACCUAUCACACGCAAAAGUAUGAAUAGAAAGUCUGUUCGACUUAUAAAAAAUUACAUGAUC